rnacentral:rRNA from 1 species
AGUGAACGCUGGCGGUAGGCCUAACACAUGCAAGUCGAACGGCAGCACAGUAAGAGCUUGCUCUUACGGGUGGCGAGUGGCGGACGGGUGAGGAAUACAUCGGAAUCUACUUUUUCGUGGGGGAUAACGUAGGGAAACUUACGCUAAUACCGCAUACGACCUACGGGUGAAAGCAGGGGAUCUUCGGACCUUGCGCGAUUGAAUGAGCCGAUGUCGGAUUAGCUAGUUGGCUGGGUAAAGGCCCACCAAGGCGACGAUCCGUAGCUGGUCUGAGAGGAUGAUCAGCCACACUGGAACUGAGACACGGUCCAGACUCCUACGGGAGGCAGCAGUGGGGAAUAUUGGACAAAGGGCGCAAGCCUGAUCCAGCCAUACCGCGUGGGUGAAGAAGGCCUUCGGGUUGUAAAGCCCUUUUGUUGGGAAAGAAAAGCAGCAGGUUAAUACCCCGCUGUUCUGACGGUACCCAAAGAAUAAGCACCGGCUAACUUCGUG